rnacentral:rRNA from 1 species
UACAGAGGGCGCGAGCGUUGUCCGGAAUCACUGGGCGUAAAGGGCGCGUAGGUGGCCACUAUAAGGCCGCGGUGAAAAGUUCGGGGCUCAACCCUGAAUCGGCCGCGGCGACUGUAGGCUUGGGCACUGUAGAGGCAGAUGGAAUUCCGGGUGUAGCGGUGGAAUGCGUAGAGAUCCGGAAGAACACCGGUGGCGAAGGCGGUCUGCUGGGCGAGUGGCUCGCAAGGGCCAAUAGCCGACGACUGAGGCGCGACAGCGUGGGGAGCAAACAGG